GUGUUAUGUGAAACAAGAAGAGGUUAGUGAUCCCCCUGAUGAGAAUGGAAGAGGUCCUAGCUGCCUUUACAUUACAUAUAUGGUGAAGGCAUUGCCAUCCACUUUAUGGCAUCUAAUUAUGUUUCAUC
rnacentral:ncRNA from 1 species